rnacentral:rRNA from 1 species
UACGUAGGGGGCAAGCGUUGUCCGGAAUCAUUGGGCGUAAAGCGCGUGUAGGCGGCCAGAAAAGUCCGCUGUGAAAACUCGAGGCUCAACCUCGAGCUGUCGGUGGAAACUUUCUGGCUAGAGUCCGGAAGAGGAGAAUGGAAUUCCUGGUGUAGCGGUGAAAUGCGCAGAUAUCGGGAGGAACACCGGUGGCGAAGGCGGUUCUCUGGGCCUUACCUGACGCUGAGGAGCGAAAGCGUGGGGAGCGAACAGG